AAAACUUUCAACAACGGAUCUCUUGGUUCUGGCAUCGAUGAAGAACGCAGCGAAAUGCGAUAUGUAAUGUGAAUUGCAGAAUUCCGUGAAUCAUCGAAUCUUUGAACGCACAUUGCGCCCUUUGGUAUUCCGAAGGGCAUGCCUGUUCGAGCGUCAUUG
rnacentral:rRNA from 1 species